GGUCUGUUGGUGAAGCGGUUAACACACACGGUUUUCAUCCAUGUACAUUUACGGGUUCGAUCCCCGUACAGACUGCCA
rnacentral:tRNA from 1 species